AAGUCGUAACAAGGUUUCCGUAGGUGAACCUGCGGAAGGAUCAUUAUCGAAUUUGAGAACGGGAGGAGCUGUGCUGGCCUUCAGGGGCAUGUGCACGCUUCGCUCGACCCCCCAAUCAACACUUGUGAACCAUGUGUAGGAAUCGAGGCUUGGGCUUGACGCUGGAUAACGGCCGAUGGUCUUGGCACGUGGUGGGGUGUCGCUUCGACGCUGGAUAACGGCCGACGAGCUUCGCCUUGCGGGUUCCUAUGUUUUAUACACCCCGUAUCGUAUGUCUUAGAAUGUUUUUUGAUCUCGGUUGCCCUAAAAAGCAGCUCGAGUUAAUAUACAACUUUCAACAACGGAUCUCUUGGUUCUC
rnacentral:misc_RNA from 1 species